rnacentral:rRNA from 1 species
UACGAAGGGGGCUAGCGUUGCUCGGAAUCACUGGGCGUAAAGCGCACGUAGGCGGCUUUCUAAGUCAGGGGUGAAAUCCUGGAGCUCAACUCCAGAACUGCCUUUGAUACUGGAGAGCUCGAGUCCGGGAGAGGUGAGUGGAACUCCGAGUGUAGAGGUGAAAUUCGUAGAUAUUCGGAAGAACACCAGUGGCGAAGGCGGCCCACUGGCCCGGUACUGACGCUGAGGUGCGAAAGCGUGGGGAGCAAACAGG